UCUGAGGAAGAGGCGUUUUGGAAUUUUAGCCAAUUGAUUCUAGUACAUCUGAAUCUUGAGAAGAAGAUUUCUGAAGCAUUGGUCAACGUGGAAUGGGACACGAAGUCUCUAACGGCCUCUACCGUUCACAUAUCAUCCACUCGAGAAGAAUCCAGAUUCAACCACAGAACACAUGGUCUGGUAUUGGUGCUGGAUGCUUGUCCUCUGUGGGAGCCACUCUCCUGAAGCGCUGCCAAUCACAACGGGAAAGAGAGUCAGCGAUUACAUUAUCUCUACAAGGAAUGUGCAUCAGCAGGGAGCCGCAUUUGCAAUAGAAUAGAAUAGAAUAGUAUCAAACUCAAUACCCAAAAAUGAAACAGGAUAGCAAUCCAACCAACUACCCCCAAACCAGGACCGGCGUGUCCUCCAAUUCAACAACAACAACAACCGGUGUACGUUAACGUUCUCCCUGGCCAAUCAGUGGAUUAUCAUCCUUCUCCGACUACACACCAAAUACCCGGACAAAGCUCGGCGUACCAUCAGCCUCACCAACCUCCGACUACACACCAAAUACCCGAACAAAGCUCGGCGUAUCCUCAGCCUCACCAACCUCCGACUACACACCAAAUACCCGGACAAAGCGCGGCGUAUCCACAGCCUCACCAACCUCCCACUAUACACCAAAUACCCGGACAAAGCUAGGCGUAUCCUCAGCCUCACCAACCUUCGAUUACACACCAAAUACCCGGACAAAGCUCGGCGUACCCUCAGCCUCCCCAACCUCCGACUACACACCAAAUGCCCGGACAAAGCUCGGCGUACCCUCAGCCUCACCAACCUUCGUUUAAUUCUAUACUAGAAUCUUGUUAUUUUCCUUUUAAUUGGUCGUCAGCCAUAAUUAUUCCUGUCCGUAAGAAAGGUGUUUUAAAUGACCCUAAUAACUUUAGAGGUAUCAGUUUAAUUAGUUGUCUUUGUAAACUGUUUACCUCUGUACUAAAUAAACGUAUUUUAGAUGUGUGUACAAAAUAUGACCUUAUUACUGAUGCGCAAUUCGGAUUUCGUCCAGAACUUAGCACGAUUGAUGCAAUGUUCGCAUUACAUUCUAUUAUAACGAAAACUUUAUCUUCAAAGAAACGUUUGUACUGUUGCUUUGUGGACUUUCGCAAAGCGUUUGAUUUUGUUGAUAGAUUAAGCUUAUGGCGUAAGCUGACUAAGCUUGGUAUUCGAGGGAAAAUGUUAU